rnacentral:rRNA from 1 species
AUUGAACGCUGGCGGCGUGCUUAACACAUGCAAGUCGAUCGGUAACAGGUGUAGCAAUACAUGCUGACGAGAGGCGGACGGGUGAGUAAUGCUUGGGAAUCUGCCUAUUAGUGGGGGACAACCCGGGGAAACUCGGGCUAAUACCGCAUACGCUCUACGGAGGAAAGCCGGGGACCGCAAGGCCUGGCGCUAAUAGAUGAGCCCAAGUCGGAUUAGCUAGUUGGUAGGGAACGGCCUACCAAGGCGACAAUCCGUAGCUGGUCUGAGAGGACGACCAGCCACACCGGAACCGAGACACGGUCCGGACUCC